UAGUAUAAGUCACGUAUGGUUGGAUUCCUGUAGAAGUAAGAGGUCUAGCAAUCUGUGGCCAGACUAUCCGAGUAGAUGACAUUAAUCAAUUAAUACUAUGAAGCUGGAUAUGCUUUAAAGGACUCUUUUACAGAAGGCAAAACCUCGAAGCAGUAGUUAUCUGUUCGGUUUUACAGGUGAACAACAAUUAGCAACUUCCGAUCGAAAUGCACACAACAACCACCCACAAUCACAGCUGAAAAAAGUAACAGCAAGGAAAUCAAGUUUGUACACAGAAAUCUGCACUAAAAUUGGGUUUUAUAAGCGCAAGAAAAGCGACGCGGC